rnacentral:lncRNA from 1 species
GACAAAAGUGGUAUCUUAUCUCUUAGCAAGCUCAUAGGUUUCAGUGUGACAACUACCUUACAGCAAGGAGGAGGACAUACUACUCAUAAAGAUACCCAAAAUGAGCAACCAAUGAGUGGACCAUAGCAUGGACUCAAAACUAUAGGCAUUGAAGUCAUCAAGAUACUGAUGUCAAAGACUGUUUGACUUGUAGAAGGAUUAAAAUGCCACUCCAAAAAAUGAUCAGUCAACAAUCAAGAGAAACCACAGAGAUACAGCAAAGUCUUGAUACCAGCCACCACUUGUCCUCCAUACAAGGGAUCUUGGCCAGACCACAGAUACAUACCCAUUACAGAUCACAUUUAACUGAAUCAAUGAAGAUGGAAAAGGAAUUUGAGAUACUGGAUGGAGCCUCUGUCCUCUGCAUUCCAAAAUACAGAGUGACAGGGAAUUAUUGGUGGGCUGUUCAGCAAAGAUUCAGCAAGGAAAUCUUUCAGGUACUGGUAUUCUUGCAAAUGCUGGAAAGAAGUGAAGUCAGCUGUGAAAACAGCCACCUCAAAGUAACAGCAUUGUGA